rnacentral:rRNA from 1 species
AUGCAUGUCUAAGUAUAAGCACUUGUACUGUGAAACUGCGAAUGGCUCAUUAAAUCAGUUAUCGUUUAUUUGAUUGUACUUUACUACAUGGAUACCUGUGGUAAUUCUAGAGCUAAUACAUGCGAAAAAUCCCGACUUCUGGAAGGGAUGUAUUUAUUAGAUUAAAAACCAAUGCGAGUCCUUGUGGCUCGUUUUCUUGGUGAUUCAUGAUAACUUUUCGAAUCGCAUGGCCUUUGCGCCGGCGAUGUUUCAUUCAAAUUUCUGCCCUAUCAACUGUCGAUGGUAAGGUAGUGGCUUACCAUGGUUGUAACGGGUGACGGAGAAUUAGGGUUCGAUUCCGGAGAGGGAGCCUGAGAAACGGCUACCACA